rnacentral:tRNA from 1 species
GCGAUCGCAGCUCAGUUAGUUAGUUCACUGCCUUGAAAUGGUGGGGGUCGUUGGUUCGAGACCAAUCGAACGCACCA